UACGUAGGUGGCAAGCGUUGUCCGGAUUUACUGGGCGUAAAGAGCGCGCAGGCGGUCGCUCAAGUCGCGUGUGAAAGCCCCCGGCUCAACUGGGGAGGGUCACGCGAUACUGAUCGACUGGAAGGCAGGAGAGGGUAGUGGAAUUCCCGGUGUAGUGGUGAAAUGCGUAGAUAUCGGGAGGAACACCAGUGGCGAAGACGACUACCUGGCCUGUUCUUGACGCUGAGGCGCGAAAGCUAGGGGAGCAAACGGG
rnacentral:rRNA from 1 species